UGCAGUCGAACGGUAAGGCCCUUCGGGGUACACGAGUGGCGAACGGGUGAGUAACACGUGGGUGAUCUGCCCUGCACUCUGGGAUAAGCCUGGGAAACUGGGUCUAAUACCGGAUAGGAGCUCCUGUCGCAUGGCGGGGGUUGGAAAGGUUUACUGGUGCAGGAUGGGCCCGCGGCCUAUCAGCUUGUUGGUGGGGUAAUGGCCUACCAAGGCGACGACGGGUAGCCGGCCUGAGAGGGCGACCGGCCACACUGGGACUGAGACACGGCCCAGACUCAUACGGGAGGCAGCAGUGGGGAAUAUUGCACAAUGGGCGAAAGCCUGAUGCAGCGACGCCGCGUGAGGGAUGACGGCCUUCGGGUUGUAAACCUCUUUCAGCAGGGACGAAGCGAGAGUGACGGUACCUGCAGAAGAAGCACCGGCCAACUACGUGCCAGCAGCCGCGGUAAUACGUAGGGUGCGAGCGUUGUCCGGAAUUACUGGGCGUAAAGAGCUCGUAGGCGGUUUGUCGCGUCGUCCGUGAAAACUUGGGGCUCAACCCCAAGCUUGCGGGCGAUACGGGCAGACUUGAGUACUGCAGGGGAGACUGGAAUUCCUGGUGUAGCGGUGAAAUGCGCAGAUAUCAGGAGGAACACCGGUGGCGAAGGCGGGUCUCUGGGCAGUAACUGACGCUGAGGAGCGAAAGCGUGGGUAGCGAACAGGAUUAGAUACCCUGGUAGUCCACGCCGUAAACGGUGGGCGCUAGGUGUGGGUUUCCUUCCACGGGAUCCGUGCCGUAGCUAACGCAUUAAGCGCCCCGCCUGGGGAGUACGGCCGCAAGGCUAAAACUCAAAGGAAUUGACGGGGGCCCGCACAAGCGGCGGAGCAUGUGGAUUAAUUCGAUGCAACGCGAAGAACCUUACCUGGGUUUGACAUAUACCGGAAAGCUGUAGAGAUACGGCCCCCCUUGUGGUCGGUAUACAGGUGGUGCAUGGCUGUCGUCAGCUCGUGUCGUGAGAUGUUGGGUUAAGUCCCGCAACGAGCGCAACCCUUGUCCUGUGUUGCCAGCGCGUAAUGGCGGGGACUCGCAGGAGACUGCCGGGGUCAACUCGGAGGAAGGUGGGGACGACGUCAAGUCAUCAUGCCCCUUAUGUCCAGGGCUUCACACAUGCUACAAUGGCCGGUACAGAGGGCUGCGAUACCGUGAGGUGGAGCGAAUCCCUUAAAGCCGGUCUCAGUUCGGAUCGGGGUCUGCAACUCGACCCCGUGAAGUCGGAGUCGCUAGUAAUCGCAGAUCAGCAACGCUGCGGUGAAUACGUUCCCGGGCCUUGUACACACCGCCCGUCACGUCAUGAAAGUCGGUAACACCCGAAGCCGGUGGCCUAACCCCUCGGGGAGGAGCCGU
rnacentral:rRNA from 1 species